GUGCUCGCUUUGGCAGCACAUAUACUAAAAUUGGAACGAUACAGAGAAGAUUAGCAUGGCUCCUGCGCAAGGAUGACACACAAAUUCGUGAAGCGUUCCAUAU
rnacentral:snRNA from 1 species